AGACGGCUCUGCAGCCAGAGAAGGGCCUGAGGACUGUGGGACCGAGAGCUGGAGGCAGCACUUUAGUGCUUGUAGCUCUUCCUGCUGGAGGAGGAGGUGGUGGUGUACUUGAUGGUGGAACUGCCGCCUCCAACAGAGCUGAGGCCACCCCCAAUGGCUCUGCCACUGCUGGAACUGAAGCCACCUCCAACGCCAAGACCACUGCCAUAGGAGUAGCUGCUUCCUCCACCCAGUCAGAAGAGUGCGAGGGCAGGGGAGGAAGGCAAGCA
rnacentral:lncRNA from 10 species